rnacentral:miRNA from 1 species
UGGUUUUGGUCCUUGGUAUUU